UAGGGAAUCUUCGGCAAUGGACGAAAGUCUGACCGAGCAACGCCGCGUGAGUGAAGAAGGUUUUCGGAUCGUAAAACUCUGUUGUUAGAGAAGAACAAGGAUGAGAGUAGAAUGUUCAUCCCUUGACGGUAUCUAACCAGAAAGCCACGGCUAACUACGUGCCAGCAGCCGCGGUAAUACGUAGGUGGCAAGCGUUGUCCGGAUUCAUUGGGCGUAAAGCGAGCGCAGGCGGUUUCUUAAGUCUGAUGUGAAAGCCCCCGGCUCAACCGGGGAGGGUCAUUGGAAGCUGGGCAACUUGAGUGCAGAAGAGGAGAGUGUAAUUCCAUGUGUAGCGGUGAAAUGCGUAGAUAUAUGGAGGAACACCAGUGGCGAAGGCGGCUCUCUGGUCUGUAACUGACGCUGAGGCUCGAAAGCGUGAGGAGCAAACAGG
rnacentral:rRNA from 1 species